ensembl:ncRNA C09G12.19 ncRNA
UCAUGCAUUUUGAGCAAAUUUCUCAUUUUUGCUCGAAUUUCGAACUAGAAAUUACCUGAAUUUCAUAUUCGGCUGAAAAUUCAGCAAAUUAACUUCAAUUUUGGUCGGAAAAACAACAAUUUGAGCCAAAAAGUACCGAAAUUUCAAUGAAAAUCUCGGAUUUUCUCUGUUUUAAUUUGUAUCACCAAAAAAAUUGGAUUUUCUUAC